AGAGUUUGAUCCUGGCUCAGAUUGAACGCUGGCGGCAGGCCUAACACAUGCAAGUCGAGCGGUAGAGAGGUGCUUGCACCUCUUGAGAGCGGCGGACGGGUGAGUAAUGCCUAGGAAUCUGCCUGGUAGUGGGGGAUAACGUUCGGAAACGAACGCUAAUACCGCAUACGUCCUACGGGAGAAAGCAGGGGACCUUCGGGCCUUGCGCUAUCAGAUGAGCCUAGGUCGGAUUAGCUAGUUGGUGAGGUAAUGGCUCACCAAGGCGACGAUCCGUAACUGGUCUGAGAGGAUGAUCAGUCACACUGGAACUGAGACACGGUCCAGACUCCUACGGGAGGCAGCAGUGGGGAAUAUUGGACAAUGGGCGAAAGCCUGAUCCAGCCAUGCCGCGUGUGUGAAGAAGGUCUUCGGAUUGUAAAGCACUUUAAGUUGGGAGGAAGGGUUGUAGAUUAAUACUCUGCAAUUUUGACGUUACCGACAGAAUAAGCACCGGCUAACUCUGUGCCAGCAGCCGCGGUAAUACAGAGGGUGCAAGCGUUAAUCGGAAUUACUGGGCGUAAAGCGCGCGUAGGUGGUUCGUUAAGUUGGAUGUGAAAGCCCCGGGCUCAACCUGGGAACUGCAUUCAAAACUGUCGAGCUAGAGUAUGGUAGAGGGUGGUGGAAUUUCCUGUGUAGCGGUGAAAUGCGUAGAUAUAGGAAGGAACACCAGUGGCGAAGGCGACCACCUGGACUGAUACUGACACUGAGGUGCGAAAGCGGGGGGAGCAAACAGGAUUAGAUACCCUGGUAGUCCACGCCGUAAACGAUGUCAACUAGCCGUUGGGAGCCUUGAGCUCUUAGUGGCGCAGCUAACGCAUUAAGUUGACCGCCUGGGGAGUACGGCCGCAAGGUUAAAACUCAAAUGAAUUGACGGGGGCCCGCACAAGCGGUGGAGCAUGUGGUUUAAUUCGAAGCAACGCGAAGAACCUUACCAGGCCUUGACAUCCAAUGAACUUUCCAGAGAUGGAUUGGUGCCUUCGGGAGCAUUGAGACAGGUGCUGCAUGGCUGUCGUCAGCUCGUGUCGUGAGAUGUUGGGUUAAGUCCCGUAACGAGCGCAACCCUUGUCCUUAGUUACCAGCACGUUAUGGUGGGCACUCUAAGGAGACUGCCGGUGACAAACCGGAGGAAGGUGGGGAUGACGUCAAGUCAUCAUGGCCCUUACGGCCUGGGCUACACACGUGCUACAAUGGUCGGUACAGAGGGUUGCCAAGCCGCGAGGUGGAGCUAAUCCCAUAAAACCGAUCGUAGUCCGGAUCGCAGUCUGCAACUCGACUGCGUGAAGUCGGAAUCGCUAGUAAUCGCGAAUCAGAAUGUCGCGGUGAAUACGUUCCCGGGCCUUGUACACACCGCCCGUCACACCAUGGGAGUGGGUUGCACCAGAAGUAGCUAGUCUAACCUUCGGGGGGACGGUUACCACGGUGUGAUUCAUGACUGGGGUGAAGUCGUAACAAGGUAGCCGUAGGGGAACCUGCGGCUGGAUCACCUCCUUA
rnacentral:rRNA from 1 species